UUUUUCAAUUUUUAUUCUAAAGGACCUCCCCCUGAGAACAAAUGUCAACUUACAGAACAUGGCCAAUUCGACCAUCCGAUAAAACCAUAGGCACCAUGUGCCUGCUGGCAUUGGCCCUCCACCAUAUAUCAUUGGCUGUUCAGGUACAAAACCCGUUAGACGAAAUUAGAUUACCAAGACAUAAGAGGACCAAUGUAAAUUCAGUGAUGUACCCGCUGAAAGCCUUCAGCAACACCAUAUCCAGCCCCCACAGAGCCAUAUGGAUAUGGAUUUCCGCCAAAACCACCACCAUACCGUGGGUGUGCAAGGUGGUUUGCAUGAGGCCCGGCAUUGUACGAAUAAGCCCCAUCAGGUUUCUUCUCAGUCCGAGGCUUCGCAAGGACAACUUCGAGUGGAUGACCUAUAAAACCCAGAGGCCGAGAGGCCUGAGUCCACAUCGCAACUCGCCACUCCGCCGCCGUCGACUGAGAGAACAUCAUCGAUCCCGACUUUUGGAUUGAUUUCCUUGCCACCUCCGUUCACAGUGUAGGGAGCGACGGCUAUCCCACCGCCGAGGCCUAUCUCUUCAAAGUCGUUCAUUUGGAUAGAGUAGAUAGAGAGAUUGUCGGAUUUGUCAUCUGGGUUUGGAGAGUAACAGCCACGAAUUCGGGGCUCCGAUUGAAUUGGGUUGUUCUUACAAGGAUGAUUUGGCUGCCGCCCACAAGAACUGUGCUGGUUCAAGAUUAAGGGCAACAAGUGAGUAAAUUUCUGUGUCUUUUUUAUAUAUUAUAUUUCGAGUCCUUUGGUAAAUUGUUAGCUAACACGCUUAGACAGAAGAAAAAAUUGAAGACAGGAAUUGUUAGCUAACACGCUUAGGCAGAAGGAAAAAUCGAAGGCAGGACCUCGGUUUUUAGUUUCUUGCAUUAGGCAAUGUUUAUAUCUGUGAUUUGAUAAAGCAUACAAAUAUAAUUGUUCAGUCUGCGAUAUCGCCAGCAGAGCCUACGUAUAGUCUUCCACAACCCAAGUUAGAACAUCUGUGUAUGAUCAAAUAUUGAACUAUAAACUACUAAUUGUCAGAACCAUAUACGAUUUAUACGGAAAGGUGAGCCUUGCUGCAUUUUGUUGUAGUUUCUGUGAGUUUAAGUCCUAUGCUUUUCUAUGACCCUAUGCUGAUUAAGUUUCACAGCAUCAGAUGUCAUUCACUUAUUAAACGGUACGACAGAAAUCUCCUCAUGGUCUGCAGGAAAGGAAAUCUUUUAUGGCUCUAAAGCUGUUUCAUGAAAUGAAAAUUCAGAAAUGUAGACCCAACAUAUGCAUGUAUUCGGCUUUGGUAAAUGCAUUUGCAAGGGAAGGACUUUGUGAGAAAGCGGAGGAAAAUUUUUAGCAGAUGCAAGAAGCAGGGCACGAGCCUGAUGUGUAUGCGUACUAUGCCCUUAUGGAAGCUUAUAGUUUAGUCUCUGAUGGAUUCUGUAGUUUAAUUUGAGCGGUUUGAUCAAGUAUAAAUGUACAAAACUUCCAUUGUAUGAUAUGCAGCGCUAUAUAUCCGAACUUCUAUAAGAUUUUGCUCCCCAA